rnacentral:rRNA from 1 species
GACGAACGCUGGCGGCGUGCUUAACACAUGCAAGUCGAACGGAAAGGCCGUGCUUUCGUGGUGUGCUCGAGGGGCGAACGGGUGAGUAAGACGUGAGCAACCUGCCCUAGACUUUGGGAUAACUUCAGGAAACUGGGGUUACUACCAUACCGGAGCCGCCGUUGCGUGGUGGGGGGUGGAAAUUUGCGGCGGUAGGGGAUGGAUGCGCGGCUGAUCAGCUUGCUGGUUGGGUAGGGGCUUACCAAGGCUGUGACGGAUCGCCGGCAUGGGAGGGUGAACGGCCACAUUGGGACUAAGAGACGGACCAGAGUGCAACGGGAGGCAGCAGUGGGGAGUAUUGCACAAUGGGCGGGAGCCGGAUGAAGAAACGCCGCGUGCGGGAUGACGGCCUGCGGGUUGUAAACCGCAUUAGCCUGUGACGAAGCGUGAGUGACGGUAAUGGGUAAAGAAGCACCGGCUAACUACGUG